AUUGAACGCUGGCGGCAGGCUUAACACAUGCAAGUCGAGCGGUAACAGAGAGAAGCUUGCUUCUCUGCUGACGAGCGGCGGACGGGUGAGUAAUGCCUAGGAAUCUGCCUAGUAGUGGGGGAUAACUUGCCGAAAGGUAAGCUAAUACCGCAUACGUCCUACGGGAGAAAGGAGGGGACCUUCGGGCCUUUCGCUAUUAGAUGAGCCUAGGUCGGAUUAGUUAGUUGGUGAGGUAAUGGCUCACCAAGACCGCGAUCCGUAACUGGUCUGAGAGGAUGAGCAGUCACACUGGAACUGAGACACGGUCCAGACUCCUACGGGAGGCAGCAGUGGGGAAUAUUGGACAAUGGGGGGAACCCUGAUCCAGCCAUGCCGCGUGUGUGAAGAAGGUCUUAGGAUUGUAAAGCACUUUAAGUUGGGAGGAAGAGCAGUUAACUAAUAUUUGACUGUUUUGACGUUACCGACAGAAUGAGCACCGGCUAACUUCGUGCCAGCCGCCGCAGUAA
rnacentral:rRNA from 1 species